AUUCCACUGACGAGUUCCAAAUAGGACGAAAUGCGUGUCCGGGAU
rfam:Schistosoma mattheei strain Denwood, Zambia genome assembly, scaffold: SMTD_scaffold0006223